ACUGUGGUCUGCAACCCGACCACACGAAGCUGGAAUCGCUAGUAAUCGCGGAUCAGAAUGCCGCGGUGAAUACGUUCCCGGGUCUUGUACACACCGCCCGUCACACCAUGGGAGUCAGCAACGCCCGAAGUCAGUGACCCAACCUUUAAGGAGGGAGCUGCCGAAGGCGGGGCAGGUGACUGGGGUGAAGUCGUAACAAGGUAUC
rnacentral:rRNA from 1 species